AAGAAAGCAGAAAUAUAUCGUGAGACCCAAAUGAAGCUAAGAGGAUUCAAAAAGAGGGAUCAAGUUUUGAAACAGCUCUUUUUGUAGAACACUCAUAGAUUUAUUUUUAGGGCAGAACAUUUGCUUCCUUUUGGAAUUAUUCUUUUAGAGACACAUACUUUUUAGUAGGUGUUUUUGAAAAAUAAACCAACAGAGUUUUGAUUUUUGUCCUUUAUAUUUUAAGUGCAGGACAUUUGCUUGCUUCUUUUCGGAAUUAUUGUUUUUGAAGCGCAUAAGUUCUUGUAGGUGUUUUUGAAAAAUAAGCCAAAAGAGCUUCAAAUUGUGUCCUAUUGCAUUUUAAGAAGUUCAAUAAGAAUAUCCAUCUGUCUGUUAUAAAAUGAAGUGUUUGAUUUUACAAGUGCUUGGACUUUAUGUGUGUUAUUCUGUGUCUUUAGCCGGAGAUGCUGACGACCAAUGCCGAGCUGUCUAUGGAUCUGGAUCAUACUUUUGUCGGGCCGCGUAUUCAUCUGAGCCGUUUUUUGCAGCAAUGUGUGGGCCUAUGAAUGGUAUUUGUCAAGAUACAUCUACAAAUCAAUGUAGCGGCUCAAUAACAUUUAAUAACUUCACGGUCUGUGGUGAUAGAAAGUGGUGUGUAGCAGGUGAAUGUGUUGCUAGCGACCAAGCUCCAUCAAGACCUUCAGAUUUGUGUCCACAAAUGGAUGAUCCUACCGUAAGAUGUGUUGCAGCGAAUUGUGGUUUUAUUACUGCCGGUAGACGAGCUCAGUGUUGUAGUACUUGUGCUGCAAUGACAACACCAACGACAUCAACAACAACAACGUCUCCAACAACUUCACAAACGACAACUAUACUCACGACAACAUCUCCGAAAACGUUUCCACCAACAACCAUUCAACCAAUACGCCGUGCCUCAACAUGUACUCUGUUACGCUUUGCAUAUUAUCUAUGCAACGAAGCCCAAUCUAAUUCCUGGUAUGAAAUACGACGUUCAGUUGUUCGAUUUUUAAGAAACCUAAUGGUUCGUCGACGGCAAUACCAAAUUAUGGGAUAAACGACCACACAGUCUCAUAACGAAAGCACAACAGAGUAUCCUUAAAUCUAAACUGGCUUAUUUUUAAAUACAUCCUCCUGAAUUUCUGGCAAUAGUAUUCAAAAUAAGGUCUACGGCUUUCCUAAUUAUUAAAAAAUGUAAACCCUUAAAAUAAUGUCUACUACUGAAUUCCCAGCAAUAAUUUUCAAAAUAAGGUCUGGUAUAUUUAUUUAAACAUGUCAACACUUAAACAUACAUUAUGCAAGAGGUAAAUCUGCCUAUUACAGGUCUUUCUUUAGGCCUGAAAUGCUAUAUAAAUUAUUAAUUAGACAUUUAUUAACAUGAAAAGAACAUCAUCAACUCUCGAUACCAUCUCAUGUGCCCGAUUUUCUUUGGAUGUGAAUCCGAUCUGAUGAUUAAACGCAAACGUGGAUAAUCGAGACAUAGUCAAUUAUCGUGAUAGCGGUAACAAUGACAAUCGAGGCUACAGAGAUUUUAAAAUAAGGUUUUCUCGGCUUAGAAUGAAAUUUGACUGAAAUUUUCAGCAUAAUCCCUUUACAUUCUCUAGUUUGUAUCUAUCAUAGUGGGGAGUGCCAGCUUUUUAUCUAAUCUUCCAUAAUGUAUGUUUAAAUUAAGGUCUACCACUGAACUAAUGAUUGAGAAGACUUGGAUUGUCGAAUGUUUACCGCGUUCGCGUUGUAUCAUAAGGUCUAUCAUUGAGUCAACUGGCGUGGUUUUGAUUCCUCGGUUGUACCUGACAAGGAGAAGGGUCGCAUGUCCAACCUCGUGAGUUUUCUGGGAAACCUCCGGUUUCCUCCCACUGCUAAAGAUCCCUACGCGCAAGGGGAUUAUUGAAAUUAAAUUGAACCAUAUUAUGUUAGUCCCGAAGUGACCUAGUUUGUUUCGAGUAGACGUUAUCUCUCUCUCUCUCGCUCUCCCUCUCUCUCUCUCUGUGUGCACUUAUGACUGAAGAUUGCCAACACUUAAAAUAACGUAUGCGACUGACCUAAUUAUUGAAAAAUAUAAGUAAUUAUAAACGAAUAUUUUGUGCUUUAUGUGAGCCAGUUUUGAUUUAACUGUAAUUGCUAUUUCAUUCUAAACGUGUAUUAUGCAAGAUUUAUAUUAAACUUUUAAUAAACAGUCAUAUAGCGUCGGGGGGGGGGGGAGUCAAAAUGUCGUAUCUGGGUUUUGCGAAAUUGUCCAGGAGAGCCAACAAUAGCACAGGGGUUAAGAAUCAAAAUGUAACGUCAAAAUAUCGUAUGUAAAAUGUCGUAUUUCUAAAGCUUUUCUCAAAUAUUUAUGUACAAAAUGUAUGUGUAGCCAUUUAAACAGUAUGUAACUAUCCGCACAUAUCAUGAUCAGCAUCUGGUACAGAAAUAAAGAGUGAAAGCUAGUUAAUUGCAAUUUUAUACAGUAAAGACAUAUCUCAGGAAAAAAUUCACCAUUACCUGCUUCAGUUUCAUAGAUUUCACACAGUAGAGGCUCAAUAAUAAUUUCAAUAAUACGUAUUUAACCAUAAAACAAUACUAGCUAUAUUUCGUUUGAUUGCAAUGAUUUGGUUAGACGCAAUGUUGAUUUUUUCAAGAAAAUACAUUUUCGCUCUUAAUAAUUCUUUUUUUUUUUGGAACACCCCAUAUACGACAUUUUGAAACAGUAUCUAUAAAACCUCUUUUUAUUGGCUUAGAAAUACGACAACCAGAUGAAAAGAUGCGCAAGAAAAUUCUCAUUCUGAAGAAACAAAAAAGUGAAUUUCGCAAAAUAUGCCAGAUACGACUCUUUGACUCCCCACCGACGAUAGCUGUAUUUAAUGUGGUAUCGGUGUGAAUUAUUACUCCAUGUGUUUAGCUGAUUGUUGUGUAUUGUUAUUGUGAUCUUACAGGUUUCGGUGUUAAAUGCUGAAUUUAAAACUUAAACAUACAUUAUGCAAGAUCUAAAUCUGCCAAAUGCAGGUCUUUCUUUAGGUCUGAAACGUUCUCUAAAUUAUUAAUUACACAUUAAUUGACUUAUCCAGACCAUAAUCAACUCGCGAUGUCAUCGCUAGCUUGCGAUAUUUACUGGAUUAUAAUCCGAUCUGUUGCUCAACGCUCAUUCAUGAUUAAAUUUUAAAAAAUUGAAUAAUCGAGACUAUGCUUUCAUCGUACCGACUUUAGUAAUGAUGAUCGAGGCUAGGCCCAAAAUUCAAUUAUUAAAUUUUUGGUUCAGAGUGGAGCAAACUGACUGAAAUUUUCAGCAAAUUCCCUUUACAUUAUCUAGUUUUUAACUAUUAUAGUGAGAACUGCCCGCUCUUUAUCUACUCUCCCAUACAUGUGUCUUUAAUAGACUGGUCGAGCCUUGUUUCUCAAAAUCUUAACUAAAGGUAAAAUCCAAAUUUAAGUAGAGACUUCAGUUUUGAUUGGCUAAGCACUAAAAUCAAUCUAAUAUUAUCCAAUCAAAUUACUAAAAUUUGGAUUUUAUCGUAGUUAAAAUUUCGUGAAACAGGCCCCAGUGAUAUAGCUGUGUUUGGUUAGCUGAUUGUUUUAUUGUUAUAAUGACCUUAUAGCUGAGGUGUCGGUGUUAAUUGUUUAAUUUAAAACUUAAUAAACAGUGAUA